rnacentral:lncRNA from 1 species
GGGGAAGCUGACAAAGGCGGAAGAGGCCCAGACCCAGGGGAACAGCAGGAGAAGCGCGGAGGGCUCUGCGGCACCAGUCCUUUCAUUUCAUGGAGGAGAAAAUGGAGUGUCAGAAAAAAUCUCAUCACCCACCUGUCGAGCACACCUUUGGAGCUCGGCUCUUCUGACUGGAAACUUCUCCUCCACCUCCGAGGUGCCGCCUCUGGAACUCCCAGGCCCAGCCCCCUGCAUAAGGCCUAACAACAGCUAACUCUGGAGGGGCUCACAGGUGGCUGCAGGAAGCGGGAGCACAAUAGCCACACCCUGGUGUCUUAGCAGAAGGGCUAAACCCAGUAGGAGGUAACCAAUAGGCCUCAAGCCCAGUGAUGGAGGGCAUCUGCCUCAAGCACGUGAAGACGUUCCCAGGAAUUGGCAGAGGAGAACAAUUCAUUCCAGUGGCCAUGAAGGCAGCUGACGCAGGGGCUGUGCAACAUUAGAGCCUGGUCAGACGUAGAAGACGCCACGGUCAUCCAGGAUAGCCUGGGCCAUCGCCAGUUAUCUUCAGUUUCGUCUUGCUGCUGGAUUUUGAUAACUAGAAGAAAGUGAAGCCGCUGACUCUGUGCAACUCUGCUUCACUUCAGUCCAACUCAUACACAGGCCAAGUCACUCCCUUAAUGUGAUUGGCCCUCUGAAAAGGAGGGACAAACAGCAACAACCUCUAUGUACCAGGCACUGGGCUAAGUCCUGGGGACACAAAAGGAGGCAAAGGACAGUCUGGCAUCAAGGAAUUUAUAAUUUUUUUAAAACAAAUGAGUUAGAACCAGGAAAACAUUGCACGUAGUAACAGCAAUAUUGUGGAAUGAUCAACUGUGAAAGACU